AUGGCGCGCAGUCGGAGCCUGCGCGGCUCCCGACGCUCGUGGCUGGUGGCGGCCCGUGCUUCUUGGCCCGUAUCAGCGAGGCGCGAGGUGAGGCGGCCGACCGCUACUCGUGGCCAUGGCGCGCAGUCGGAGCCUGCGCGGCUCCCGGCGCUCGCGGCUGGAGCCACCGUGAAGUCCCAGACCCUGGCCAUGGCGUGUGACGGCCCCUCUCCUUGCUGUUGCGCGACUCCCAGCGCUCGUGGCUUGCGGCGACCCUUGCUCGCCUUGCUCGUGGCUCGCGGCAGCCCUUGCUCCUGGGCACGACGCGUGAUGGAGGUGGUCGUCGGUGAGUGA
rnacentral:rRNA from 1 species